rnacentral:rRNA from 1 species
AGUGAACGCUGGCGGUAGGCCUAACACAUGCAAGUCGAACGGCAGCACAGUAAGAGCUUGCUCUUACGGGUGGCGAGUGGCGGACGGGUGAGGAGUACAUCGGAAUCUACUUGUUCGUGGGGGAUAACGUAGGGAAACUUACGCUAAUACCGCAUACGACCUACGGGUGAAAGCAGGGGAUCUUCGGACCUUGCGCGAUUGAAUGAGCCGAUGUCGGAUUAGCUAGUUGGCGGGGUAAAGGCCCACCAAGGCGACGAUCCGUAGCUGGUCUGAGAGGAUGAUCAGCCACACUGGAACUGAGACACGGUCCAGACUCCUACGGGAGGCAGCAGUGGGGAAUAUUGGACAAUGGGCGCAAGCCUGAUCCAGCCAUACCGCGUGGGUGAAGAAGGCCUUCGGGUUGUAAAGCCCUUUUGUUGGGAAAGAAAAGCAGCAGGUUAAUACCCCGCUGUUCUGACGGUACCCAAAGAAUAAGCACCGGCUAACUUCGUG